rnacentral:rRNA from 1 species
CGUGGGUAACCUGCCCAAGAGACUGGGAUAACACCUGGAAACAGAUGCUAAUACCGGAUAACAACACUAGACGCAUGUCUAGAGUUUAAAAGAUGGUUCUGCUAUCACUCUUGGAUGGACCUGCGGUGCAUUAGCUAGUUGGUAAGGUAACGGCUUACCAAGGCAAUGAUGCAUAGCCGAGUUGAGAGACUGAUCGGCCACAUUGGGACUGAGACACGGCCCAAACUCCUACGGGGAGGCCAGCACA